CCGCCCCAGAGCACGUGGGAAGGUUUUUCCUGUUCGUUCUUUCAUUUUUUAAAAGCCCACCCACUUUUGCGCGGGCUUGGUCACAGAGUUCUUCUCGCGAGAGGCGCCGCACCCUCUCGCGAGAGUGAGUGGGAGGUGUGGGGAUUAGGUGGUGUUGCAGACUGGAACUGCGGCGGCGGAAGCCGGGGGUGGGCAGGGCGGGGGCGGGCCCGCGGGGCGGGGAGGCGGGGAGGCGGGGAGGGGGGAGGGCCGGGGGCUGGUGCGGGAGGGGGCGCCCGCCUGCUCGGCGGCUCGCGCGACUGGUCGUUGCGGGCCGGUGACAUGCCUGUGAGCUGCGGAGGCUGCGGCCCCCAGAAAUUCACAAAAGGAAGGAAGCAGGAAAAAAAUGGACUGGGACAACCCACCUUGGGAGAGCACAGAGGUGGUGGCUACUGUUUGGGCAAGGAGGGAUUGGUAAGAUGAGCCAAGUCUUCCUCAAGGAGGGAGGUCCUUCAACUGAUGCAUGAAGAGUAAAUGACAGUUUAGCUGAUGGAAGAGAGGGUAGGUUUGAGGGAAGCUUAGGAGGGUGACAGGUCAGGAUUUGGUGACUGACUAGAUGUGGUAGUCUAUAGGGAUUGAGGGAAAAGCCAGUUUCCAGCUUAGCCUGCUGGCUCAGUUGGUUUACUGGCUCUACGGAGAGAAAUUGUUUAGAGAGAAAAUUUUAUUCGGUUUUUGGACGUACCAAUUUUGGAGUAACUGGGAUAUUUAGUUAGAAGUAUUGAAUAGAAAAUUGGACCCAAGGAACUGAAACACAGGUUCAGGAGUCGAACUGGAGAUAGACAUUAGGGACUUAUUUGCACAGUUAAAAUCAGAGGUAGAGAUUGAAUAUCCUUGGAAAACUAGGUAGACUGAAUACCACAAAGGACAAGGAUGAAGGUUAGAAAUAUUAGCGUUUGAGUAACAAGUUGUGAAAAAAUUUAGAGAAGGAGGCUAAUGUAGUACCUAGAGAGAGAGAAGUGUUCUCAUUCAGAAAUCACAGAGGAUACUUGUUAAAGGUAUAGAUUUCAGGAUUCCAUGUAGACCUCCUGAAUCUGGACCUUCCGGGGUGGAAUGGGUUAGAAAUAAGCUGAUCCACACCUGUACUGAAGUUUGAGAACCAGUGCCAUAGGAAGAGAGUCAAGAUGGGACGAGAGUGUUGAUAGAAGACAAGGAAGGGGCUUCAGAGACUCCUUGGUUUGGUUAACUCAUGCUAUAGAAAGGUCAGGAAAUAGAUGAUGCCAACUU
rnacentral:lncRNA from 1 species